GCUACAGCCAGCCCGAGGACAGCUCAACUCCAAAUUCUAAGCGCAAUACCAACAGUUCUGCUGAUUAUUCCCCUUCCAGCAUCAAUACUAACAAUCUAAUUUCCCAAGAGUUUGCUAAAGAAAACAAAACCAAAUCAAAGGAUAACGAUUGUAAUCCAAACUUCUUCAGCCCCACAAAGAAAGACUACACAAUGAGGAAAAGCGCCGAGAAUCAAGC
rnacentral:misc_RNA from 1 species